UUAAAGGUGUCCACCUGGUUGUCAACUGAUCUGAUAUCUGAUUUCACUCCGAACAUGAAACUCAACAAAGUGGACGAUCUGAUCCUGCCUGCAUGGAUUCUGGCAAAAGGAUUGGGGCUUCAGUCAUCUAACUCAAUGUCUAGUGUGGUGGAACAAGUGAACUUUGGGUCAGAGAAUCAUGACUGCACCUCGUGUCGACCUGCUUCCAAGAGAAUCCAAAAGCUAAAUAACUUCUGGUAGCUUUCCGGGGCAGCUGAUAAUUAUUUAUGCAUAAUUGUUGCUCUGGGUGGGUUCUUUGAGUAAAUGGCAUGUUGUCACUACAAAAAGGCUGGUGCUUGGUGUCAUUGUUUCUCUUCUGUGAACCAUGCCAUAAAGCAAAGGUGAUAUCUAACUGGCUCAUGGAACAAAACAUAGAGAUUUUGGGUCCAUGGCCUGGAAACUCCCCUGAUAUUAAUCCCAUUGAAAGCUUGUGGUCAAUCAUCAAGAGACAGGUAGACCAAGGAAAACCUAGGAAUUCUGUCAAAAUGCAAGCAUUGAUUGUGCAAGAAUGGACUGCUAUCAGUCAAGAUUUGGUCCAGAAGUUGAGAGCAUGCCAGGGAGAAUUUCAGAAGUCUUGAAGAAGAGGGGUCAACACUGAAAAUAUUGACUUGUUGCAUUAACUCAAACUGUAUUAAAGGCUUUUGUUACUCAUGA